ACAUCAACUGAAAUCUAUGCUCAAUCCUCUCAGCCUUCCAGCUGUUGCCUUUCACAUAUGCAGUUCAAGAAUCAGCUAGGAAUUUGGACAAGAGAUGAUUUUCUAGGUCAAGUGGAUGUUCCUCUUUACCCAUUACCGACAGAAAAUCCAAGAAUGGAGAG